GGUCCCCGGGGCUGGGGAGGAGGCCGCGCCGGAGCUAGACGGCGAGAUCGGUAGCCCCGAGGCCCGGGCCGCGGCAGAGCCUCCACAUGGCCUCCGGAGGGGGUGCGGCCUUCGAGGAGCUGCCGCACGACGGCACGUGUGAUGAGUGCGAGCCCGACGAGGCUCCGGGGGCCGAGGAAGUGUGUCGAGAAUGCGGCUUCUGCUACUGCCGCCACCACGCGGAGGCGCACGGGCAGAAGUUCCCCAGACACCACCUGGCCGAGUACGUUCACUGCGCCGCCCAGGCCUGGACCCCGGGAGCCCGCGGGGAUGGGGCCGGGGAGGAGGCAGUCGAGGCCCCGGUGGAGAAUGAGAAGGCCCUAGAAAGCGAGGCGGGGGAAGGGAGCGAGUCCGAGGAAGACAGUGAGCCCGAAGAAGCGAGCGAGACAGAGGAAGAGAGCGAGGACGAGAGCGAGGAAGACAGUGAGGAAGAAAUGGAGGACGAGCAAGAGAGCGAAGCCGAGGAGGACAACCAGGAAGAAGGAGAAUCCGAGGCCGAGGGAGAAACGGAGGCGGAAAGCGAAUUUGACCCCGAAAUAGAAAUGGAAGCAGAGAGAGUGGCCAAGAGGAAGUGUCCGGACCAUGGGCUCGAUUUGAGUACCUAUUGCCAGGAAGACAGGCAGCUCAUCUGUGUGCUCUGCCCAGUCAUUGGGGCUCACCAUGGCCACCAUCUCUCCACCCUCGAUGAAGCCUUCGAGGAACUAAGAAGCAAAGACUCAGGCGGACUGAAGGCGGCUAUGAUAGAGUUGGUGGAAAGGUUAAAGUUUAAGAGCUCAGACCCUAAAGUAACUCGGGACCAGAUGAAGGUGUUUAUACAGCAAGAAUUUAAGAAAGUUCAAAAAGUGAUUGCGGAUGAGGAGCAGAAGGCCCUUCAUCUAGUGGACAUCCAGGAAGCAAUGGCCACAGCUCAUGUGACUGAGAUACUGGCUGACAUCCAGUCCCAUAUGGAUAGAUUGAUGACUCAGAUGGCCCAAGCCAAGGAACAACUUGAUACCUCUAAUGAAUCAGCUGAGCCAAAGGCGGAGGGCGACGAGGAAGGACCCGGCAGUUUAUGUGAGGCAGAAGUCGAGGUGGAACUUGCCAGGAAACUGCCUACGGUGGAAUGGACAGAAACUUCUCUCCCCAGACAGGAGGAAUUCAUGCCUGGAGAUAAAACAAGACCCACAAGGCAUACCCAUUGUGAGCUUCAGCUUCUGUGGAUGGAAUCCGGGAGAGUGGCUUAUUAGAAAGAAAAUAAAAAGAAGACUUACAGAGGUGAUGAACUUGUUAAGGUCAUUGAUCAUCAUGGCUAGUCAUCUAUCAACUCCUCAGAGACUGCAAUAAUGAACAGGCGCCGAUGAAGAAGAGGACACAUGAAGGCCCGCCCUCCCCGGUGGACACCCCCCUCCCCUUGUGUGUGUGUGACAGCGUGUGUGCAACGGCUUCUGACCCCUGUGAAGGCUGCCCGUGCAAGCAACGUGCUCCCGCCAGCUGCGUCCCCCAGACCCAGAGCAGGCACGGAGCUCUCCGAGGAGUGGCCGGCUUCACUGUUACUGACCGUGCCGUUCAUUCUCUCGUCGUGGUCGGAAAAGGACAAGGGCGCCUGUGCUCACCCGGGAGCAGUUACAGGGUCCUUCAGGUCAUUCCCGCAACAGCUGCUUUGAACUUCCUCAGGAAAGCCAGCCCCUGUUAUGGUGUGUACCCAGACAGUAUCACUUCAUUAAGAAGGAUCUGAAAUCAUCCUGAAGGGCAGUCAGGAUUUGUUUCCCUCCUUGCUAAUAACCCCCCACUUUAUUCAUAUCGAAGCAUGGAAUAAAUGAGGGGGAAAGUAGGGCUGAAUCAGCCCAUGUAAUUAGUCUCUACAAGUCCAGUUAUACAUCUGUGAAAAUGUGGUUUCAUGAAAUAAGAUGGAUGGCUUGAAAACUGACAGAGUUAAAAGUUAGAAAUAUAUAAAGAUAUUUUUAGUACGUGAGGUUAUCCUGGACUUCAGAUUCAUAAUUCAGUCCUGUGGAAAUGAAAAAAAAAAAAAGAUUGAAGAGGUAGAAAAGAAAUGACUUUAAAAAAAAAAAGAGGGGGGACCAAAAAGAUCUGAUUAAAAGUUGAAAUCGAAGUUAAUAUUUCUGAACUUAAAUUGCCUAGGUUUCCAAAAUAGUCGCUAAAGGAUCUGAUGGAACCUGAAUUAUUUGAGUGGAUUCUGAGGUUUCGUGGGUCUCGUCACAUCAUGAAAGUCUGGAGUGUGUGUCACACGUGGGAAUUUGCACUGUAGGUUUUGCUCCCCUUCCCCAGCUUAGCCUGACUUGGCUCCGGUGCAGUGUGGGGAGGAUACUUGGCCCUCUGUGGUGUGUGAAUUGAGCUCCACCCCCUGGCAGACGGACCUUCCUUUCACUCCAGGGGAGGACCCCUCCGGCCCCGGCUCUCACCACCUCCAGGUCAUCUCCCACCCCCUGCCUCUCCCCUCUUACAUGCCUGAGUGGAGCCUCACCGUGGUUGGACUCUGGCCUCUCCCCACUCCCAGAUCACACUUCCUUACAGCCAAGCUUUUUACUCCCAAGUCAGCAGUGAUGUCCUAGGGAGCACAAAGCUGUAAACUGAAAAGCAUGCAUCUUCUGCAGCAGCAGUUUUGACUUAACAAAUGUUUUGGAGUCAGGGAAUGAUGUUAUUUUCGGAUAAAACAAACACAGUUACAUUAUGAAAUAGAAUGUUCAUAUAUAUAAACUGUAAAGAUAAAACGGGAGACUUCACAGAGGACUUUUAUUUGCAAGUGGGCUGUAUGUUCCCCCUCCUCUGUCGUUAGUGGUAUUUGGGUGUUCACUUCUGAGAAGUACAAUUGGAACUGCAAACAUCCAAGAGCCUUGGGGUUUCUGCUGACUCAGGACCCAGACUUCUGGUGCUUCUGAGGCAGAACCAAAGGAACCUGCAUGGGGGGAUCUUCCUCUUUUCCUGCCUGCCUGCCUGUGACCUGUAUACCUGUCAACAGAGCUUUAGGGCCCACUGAUGUGUGUGUGCAGGAUGGUUUUGAGGUAGAAAAAUGCUUGCUGUCGGAAUCCUGUUUAUAUCACUGUUCUAUCCUGUGCAUGCUGCAAAAUGACUAUUUCUUUGACCCCGGAAGCUACCAGGCAUAUACGCUUCUCAGUUAAGAGUACCCCAGCUCACUAAAUCAUGAGGGACACUGGGGGCUGAGAGUAGUUUGGGCUGUUUUUUU